CACAACAGCUUUGCUCAGUGCUUUCAUUUCGUUUUACUGCCUCUUCUGCUGCCGUUCGGGCGAGAGCGAUUAUUUAUUUUGUUGCCUUUCUUUGGCCUGUUUUUCCAAUAGGAAUUUGUGAUACGCUUACAGAAUUCCCUGGCACAGCUCGCCGGUGGGGACUGUCUGCUGUGGGCAGCCUUUUCAGCCCUUUGAAGAGUGCUUACACACUGUUAGUGAGUCAGCAUGCGCGAAAGCUGUCGCAUCCUCGUUUCUCAAGCACCUUUCCUCCAGUUGCUUUCCAAAUUGCUUUUCGUGGGGGUCGAUCUAGCCAUCACAAGAAGGCAGUCACUUCUGUGGCAGAUAUUUAAAAGCAACUGCGUUUAGUAACGUGGAGCAGAAUGGGAGUAAGAACACAAGAGACGGGGGCUUCUCUGGUGGAUGCUAUCUUUACCCCAGUGUUUGCUGUCCGGGGGCCCGGGGAGGCAGCGGGAGAGUCGGUGAGGCGGGGAAUGCCCGGCUGAAGCAGCCUGGGAGGAGGAGCACAGCUGGAAGACCUGCAGAGGAUGUGGAUGGUAGCUAAGCCCACACCACCGAAAGCAGCAAACCUCAGUCCCACACCCCUGUCCUUCUGCACAGUCCCAUCCAGCCCAGCCUGGAAACUUCUGGAUCACCCUGCAAUAUUCCCACCCAAGGGGGCUUCAACCAAACCCCACCGGUGAUAGGUAAAGCAAAGACAGUGCUUCAGCACAAACAGGACUCGGAGAUGAAAAAAGCCC